rfam:Xenorhabdus khoisanae strain MCB contig015, whole genome shotgun sequence.
UAAUUGAAGAGUUUGAUCAUGGCUCAGAUUGAACGCUGGCGGCAGGCCUAACACAUGCAAGUCGAGCGGCAGCGGGAAGAAGCUUGCUUCUUUGCCGGCGAGCGGCGGACGGGUGAGUAAUGUCUGGGGAUCUGCCCGAUGGAGGGGGAUAACCACUGGAAACGGUGGCUAAUACCGCAUAACCUCUU